GACGAACGCUGGCGGCGUGCUUAACGCAUGCAAGUCGAACGAUGAAGCUAGAGCUUGCUCUGGUGAAUUAGUGGCGAACGGGUGAGUAACACGUGAGUAACCUGCCCCGAACUCUGGGAUAACUGCUGGAAACGGUAGCUAAUACUGGAUACGACCUACGAAGGCAUCUUCUGUAGGUGGAAAGAAUUUCGGUUCGGGAUGGACUCGCGGCCUAUCAGCUUGUUGGUGAGGUAAUGGCUCACCAAGGCGACGACGGGUAGCCGGCCUGAGAGGGUGACCGGCCACACGGGGACUGAGACACUGCCCAGACUCCUACGGGAGGCAGCAGUGGGGAAUAUUGCACAAUGGGCGCAAGCCUGAUGCAGCAACGCCGCGUGAGGGAUGACGGCCUUCGGGUUGUAAACCUCUUUUAGUAGGGAAGAAGCGAAAGUGACGGUACCUGCAGAAAAAGCACCGGCUAACUACGUGCCAGCCGCCGCAGUAA
rnacentral:rRNA from 1 species